GUCCACACCAUAAACUAUGAACACUAGGUGUUGGAAGGAUAAAACCUUUCAGUGCCGAAGCUAACGCAUUAAGUGUUCCGCCUGGGGAGUACGAUCGCAAGGUUGAAACUCAAAGGAAUUGACGGGGGCCCGCACAAGCGGUGGAGCAUGUGGUUUAAUUCGAUGCAACGCGAAGAACCUUACCGGGGCUUGAACUGCAGUGGCCAUCCCAGGAAACUGGGCUCUCUUCGGAGCUGCUGUAGAGGUGCUGCAUGGCUGUCGU
rnacentral:rRNA from 1 species